UACAGAGGGGGCAAGCGUUGUUCGGAAUUACUGGGCGUAAAGGGCGCGUAGGCGGCCUUCUAAGUCGAACGUGAAAUCCCCGGGCUUAACCCGGGAACUGCGUCCGAUACUGGAAGGCUUGAAUCCGGGAGAGGGAUGCGGAAUUCCAGGUGUAGCGGUGAAAUGCGUAGAUAUCUGGAGGAACACCGGUGGCGAAGGCGACAUCCUGGACCGGUAUUGACGCUGAGGCGCGAAAGCCAGGGGAGCAAACGGG
rnacentral:rRNA from 1 species